UCCUCGGUCUGGCUGCUUUA
rnacentral:miRNA from 1 species